AUUGAACGCUGGCGGCAUGCUUUACACAUGCAAGUCGAACGGCAGCGCGGGCUUCGGCCUGGCGGCGAGUGGCGAACGGGUGAGUAAUGCAUCGGAACGUGCCCAGUAGUGGGGGAUAGCCCGGCGAAAGCCGGAUUAAUACCGCAUACGACCUGAGGGUGAAAGCGGGGGACCGAAAGGCCUCGCGCUAUUGGAGCGGCCGAUGUCGGAUUAGCUAGUUGGUGGGGUAAAGGCUUACCAAGGCGACGAACCGUAGCUGGUCUGAGAGGACGACCAGCCACACUGGGACUGAGACACGGCCCAGACUCCUACGGGAGGCAGCAGUGGGGAAUUUUGGACAAUGGGGGCAACCCUGAUCCAGCCAUGCCGCGUGCGGGAAGAAGGCCUUCGGGUUGUAAACCGCUUUUGUUCGGGAAGAAAUCCUCUGGGCUAAUACCCGGGGGGAUGACGGUACCGGAAGAAUAAGCACCGGCUAACUACGUG
rnacentral:rRNA from 1 species